AGUAACACGUGAGCAAUCUGCCCUUCACUUUGGGAUAACUUCCGGAAACGGAAGCUAAUACCGAAUACGACCAUCACAGACAUCUGUUGAUGGUGGAAAGUUCCGGCGGUGAAGGAUGAGCUCGCGGCCUAUCAGCUUGUUGGUGAGGUAAUGGCCCACCAAGGCGACGACGGGUAGCCGGCCUGAGAGGGUGACCGGCCACACUGGGACUGAGACACGGCCCAG
rnacentral:rRNA from 1 species